AAAUUUUAUAGGAGGGAGCUACCAAUAAGGCCAAUGGCCUAGGUCGGCGGUCUCCAUUCCACUUGGGAGGGGUGUCAGCGUAACAUCUUCUACGUCAUAAUUUGUGGUAGAGGGGUACGUGUUCGCGCGGCCCCUUA
rnacentral:snRNA from 14 species